UACGUAGGGUGCGAGCGUUGUCCGGAAUUAUUGGGCGUAAAGAGCUCGUAGGCGGUGUGUCACGUCGAUCGUGAAAACUUGGGGCUUAACUCUGAGCUUGCGGUCGAUACGGGCAUCACUGGAGUUCGGCAGGGGAGACUGGAAUUCCUGGUGUAGCGGUGAAAUGCGCAGAUAUCGGGAGGAACACCGGUGGCGAAGGCGGUUCUCUGGGCCUUACCUGACGCUGAGGAGCGAAAGCGUGGGGAGCGAACAGG
rnacentral:rRNA from 1 species